CCGGCUGUAGCUCAGGUGGCAGAGCGGAGGAUUGUAACUCCUUAGGUCGCUAGUUCGAGUCUGGCCAGCCGGA